ensembl:lncRNA
GACUCGGGAGUCGGGGACUCCUGGUUCAGAGGGACCAGCCUGGCGAGGACACGGCAGGCGGAGAAACCCGCGGGUGUGGGUGCGGUUUCCCUCUUCGGAUGAGCUGCACCCCCCACCCCGUCCCCUGCAGUCAAAGAGAUGGCAGGGGGCUCCGCGGUCCUGGCGAGAGAAACCCUCGGGGCAAAGCGGGGAUUCACUGGGUGCUAAUAUGGAAGACGUUAACUACUUGAUGACCAGGAGCAUGAAGCCCCCAGACCUACUGGCUCCUAAGGAUUGAUCAUGAUAACCCCUGUGACCCCGCCCCAUGACCUCACCAUCAACCAAUCAGAGAACAGUACAUGAACUGGAACUCCCCUUCCUCACCUUCCCUGUGAAAAGGCUUGCCUGAACCUCUUGGGGGGAGUUUGGGGGGGUUGAUCACAAGCUGCCUUGGACUCCUUGCUUGGUGCCCUGCAAACACUGCUGCACUUUCCUUCACCAACACUGUGUCAGUAGAUUGGCUUGACUGCUGGAGGGCAAGCAGAUCCAGGUUUGGUUCAAUAACCCAUCACUGUGUAAUAAAGUAUCCUUCUCAGAGCACUGAGAAGGUCUCAGUCUGCAGGACUGCUUCAGUGAACUUGCAUCAUUUCCACGGAUCAAUCUCUAGGUUCAGGUGUUAAAAGAAUAAAUAAAUCUUGACCUCUGUCACCUGCCACUGGAGAAGAAAGGAAGCUUAAUACUUGGUGACAGCAUUAUCAGCAUCAGUACCUUGUCCUGCAAAGGCGGUGCUAGUGGUAAAGAACCUGCCUGCCAAUGCGGGAGAUGUAAGAAAUGCGGGUUCAAUUCCUGGGUGGGAAAGAUCCACUGGAGGAGGGCAUGGCAACCCACUCCAGUAUUCUUGCCUGGAGAAUCCCAUGGACAGAGAAGCCUGGCGGGCUAUGGUUCACAGGGUCACAAAGAGUCGGACGUGACUGAAUCGACUGAGCACACAGAACCUGCAAAACUCAGCCAAAGAAAUCUUGCUCCCCCCACCAAGUUCCGUUGAAAGUGGGUGACUUAAUAUCAGGAAAAUGUAGUUUUGUGACCACAAGAGAAAUUGUUUCAACAGUGAAAUGUCAAAUUCAAAAAAUUAACUUCUAAAUUUUUUAAUGUAACCUUAUAAGAUAAUCAAAUUGUUUUUGAGGAUAUGUCAGAUUUUUUUUGUAACCCAUGAACUUGGUCUUUGAUAUCCUGCUUCAGCAUUAACCAGGUAUCAAUUUUAACACCCAGUCACACCCGUUCAGUGAAAAUGAAUAUUCCAUGCAUCUGUAGUCACUGAGGACUCUGAGUCUGUCAGACUGAGUCUUCACAGUUCUGAAU